AGAGUUUGAUCAUGGCUCAGAACGAACGCUGGCGGCAUGCCUAACACAUGCAAGUCGAACGCUAUUUAUAGAGUGGCGCACGGGUGAGUAACGCGUGGGAACCUGCCUUUUUCUGCGGGAUAACGGUUGGAAACGACCGCUAAUACCGCAUACGCCCUACGGGGGAAAGGUCCGCCGGAAAAAGAGGGGCCCGCGUCUGAUUAGCUUGUUGGUAGGGUAAUGGCCUACCAAGGCGACGAUCAGUAGCUGGUCUGAGAGGAUGAUCAGCCACACUGGGACUGAGACACGGCCCAGACUCCUACGGGAGGCAGCAGUGGGGAAUAUUGGACAAUGGGGGCAACCCUGAUCCAGCAAUGCCGCGUGUGUGAUGAAGGCCUUAGGGUUGUAAAGCACUUUCACUGGUGAAGAUGAUGACGGUAACCAGAGAAGAAGCCCCGGCUAACUUCGUGCCAGCAGCCGCGGUAAUACGAAGGGGGCGAGCGUUGUUCGGAAUUACUGGGCGUAAAGGGCGCGUAGGCGGU
rnacentral:rRNA from 1 species